GUCGUCCUACGGGGCGCAGCAGUGGGGAAUAUUGGACAAUGGGGGGAACCCUGAUCCAGCGACGCCGCGUGAGUGAAGAAGUAUUUCGGUAUGUAAAGCUCUAUCAGCAGGGAAGAAAAUGACGGUACCUGACUAAGAAGCCCCGGCUAACUACGUGCCAGCAGCCGCGGUAAUACGUAGGGGGCAAGCGUUAUCCGGAUUUACUGGGUGUACAGGGAGCGAAGACGGUGCAGCAAGUCUGAUGUGAAAGGUAGG
rnacentral:rRNA from 1 species